rnacentral:lncRNA from 1 species
GAGUGCAUUUGUUUUCAGAGUCUAGAGUUCUUGGCAUCUAGGAACCCAGGCCUUGUCCUCUGCUUCCCUCGGCCUCCACGAGAGCAAACGUUGCAGGACAGUUGAUCACUCACACCUGUCUCUCCUCUGGAGACAGAAGCUUGGGUGUGGGGUAAUAGGUCCUGGGAGUUUGCUACUUUAGAUUUACUGGGGAUCAGAAGAUUAUGAAUAAUUGAAG